UUAUUUGGGUCGGGUUUACCUCUUGUCUAGUUUUUUUGUGCUCAAAAUAAUUCAAGAGGAGGUAAACUUUUACCAAAUAAUCCUAUUUCCAAAUAGGAGCAAGAACCUUAUAUUUAAAACCCACUCUUAAAAUAUUAUAUGUAUUUUUAAUAAAAAAAAUAAAGA
rnacentral:misc_RNA from 1 species